rnacentral:rRNA from 1 species
ACUCAAAUGAAUUGACGGGGGCCCGCACAAGCGGCGGAGCAUGCGGAUUAAUUCGAUGCAACGCGAAGAACCUUACCAAGGCUUGACAUGGGCAGUAAUCCGGCAGAGAUGUCGGGUCCGUAAGGGCUGCUCACAGGUGGUGCAUGGUUGUCGUCAGCUCGUGUCGUGAGAUGUUGGGUUAAGUCCCGCAACGAGCGCAACCCUCGUUCUAUGUUGCCAGCACGUGAUGGUGGGGACUCAUAGAAGACUGCCGGGGUCAACUCGGAGGAAGGUGGGGAUGACGUCAAAUCAUCAUGCCCCUUAUGUCUUGGGCUUCACGCAUGCUACAAUGGCCAGUACAAAGGGCUGCGAGACCGUAAGGUGGAGCGAAUCCCAAAAAGCUGGUCUCAGUUCGGAUCGGGGUCUGCAACUCGACCCCGUGAAGUCGGAGUCGCUAGUAAUCGCAGAUCAGCAACGCUGCGGUGAAUACGUUCCCGGGCCUUGUACACACCGCCCGU